CGUUUAAGCGUAUAACAUUUAUAUGAGAUGGCUUCAAACAAUAAUCUUUUCCCUUUAAAUUAAACUAUAUUAAUUUAACAUGUGAAAUGUCCAUAAAGUGUGAUCAUAUGAUUGGUUUUAGGGCACAUUUCCAACAUCCAUAUCCAUCAUCGGAAUUCGAGAGUUUUGGUGGAAACUCUUUGUAGGGUAUGGGAGACUCACUAUUACCAAGCCCACCUCACAAUGAUAUGAUGUUGGCUAGGAACAAUAAUAAUGAGAGUGUACGCUUAUUCAUUUACAUCUCAUGUAAGUACCCAUCUUAUUUGGCCUCUAGAGAAUGAAGCCUCACGAUGAUAUGAUGUUGGCUCCAUUGCACUUAGUUAAGUCAUUCCCACCAUGCAAGUUCAGGUAAGGGUUCAAGAACAACCUCACAAUGAUAUGAUGUUGAUCAUUCUCGUUGCCUACCUUCACAACAUCAUGUAUGUGUAUAGGACUCCUCCUGAGUGUAAGCACGCACUUUGUACUCCCCCAUGAUAGGGUGAAGUCGGUGUACGAGUCACAAACAAUCGGAGCCUACCACGGUGGAAGGCCAUGAAAAAGUUAUCAAAGCACGCUAAUGCUUGUCAACUUAAUAAUUGUUUAGUUGAGGGUUUUUAGGUCUCAUCACAUAUUAGCAUACAUUUUAAUCUUAUUAAAACAAUUUGGUCAUAUUACAACUAUUGGUCCAUAUGAUUAAUUUAGUAGUAUAUGAUACUCCCCCACUAUGCUUGUAAAACGGUUUUAAAGCAAGAAUAUAUGGUACUACUAACAUAAGCUUUGCAUUCAUUGAUGGACUAUAUAGUUGCCUUAGGGCCUUAGGAUGACUAUGAACUUUUGAUUCGAUCCAACACAAGCCUAGUAUUGGAUCUCGGUCUAGGGAUGGUGAUUGAUUUUAGUUACGCAUUUAAUCACAUUAAGGCAAGUUUUCUUAUUGGGCGUUGGACCCUACUACUCCAAUUUCAUGCAUAUCAAAUAAAACAAGAAGGGAGUACUUCAAAGUAAAGAAGAGCUUAUGCACUUUUACAACAUUUGAUCAAAACAAAUUACUUUAAAGUAAAGAAGAGCUUAUGCUCUAUUACAACAUUUGAUCAUAUCAAAUUACAACCAAAAUAUAAUCUACACAUUCCCAUGGUUCAAACAAAUUUGAGAGACGGCCUUUUACAUAGCUCAAUUAGCAUAGGCUUUGGUUCAUAAUCACCCUUUAAUUAAUUAAAGCUUUAACUAAUUAAACUUGAAUUCAACAUUUUCAUUUGGUUUUUGUAUCCAUAGAAUUUAUUUAAAUAGAGCUAAAUGAAAUGAAAAUUCAAUUCUCAUUUAAAGAGACAAAACCAUUUUGUUCUCAACCUAAUUUGGGCCAAAAUGCAAUAACCUCAACUUUUGGGCUAUAUUGCAAAACACAAACUUUUGGGGUCACUUUGUAAAAACACAAAAGUCCACUACUUCAUGUAAUUAUAACUAGAACCCAAAAUUUUCAUCAAACAAAAAAAAACUUCAUUAAAGGAACAAAACAAUUUGUCCUUUAGUGAUUUUGGGCCUUUCACUUCCAAGCCUUUCGACGUCUUUGUGAAGAUUAUGAGUAUUAGAUGUUGUUAGUAUCACAUUUCUACCCCCUAGACUAACGAUUAGCCUGAAACAAGUUACUCAGACCUUAGUGGACGAAUUGCAUCUUGUUCGUUCCACCAUUAGCUUGGUUGUUACAUACCAUUAUCUUUAUUUUAGUUGCUUGUAACCACAGUUACAAUUUUGGUUUAGCUAUGGUACCAUUGGAGUUGACAUACAGACACUUUAUGCACAGUGCAUACUUGAUAGACACUUACUUUUGUUAGAGUUAUGGGUAACUACGGUUACAUUCCUGCUUAGGAGUAUUUGAAUGAUCGGGAUUGUGAUGUAGAAAUUUAAUGUUAUUGACGAUGUAUGCAUAUUUUCCAAUGGGAGGCAUGAUGGUAAUAUUGCACCCUUGGGAAUUGUUACUUGCUUAUCGAUACAACAGUGAGUUGUCGGUAUUGCGGGCUACAUACCGCAAUAUCAAUAACUUAUUUGUUGGGUUUGUUAAGCAAGUAAACAAGUAGGUCAUUCUACGUUAGUAUUUGUAUUUAUUUAUUUAAUUAGUUAUUUAUUGUUUGGGCUUGACCUAAAGAUAAUACAUGCUUAUUUUUUAAGUACGUUACGCUAUGAGUGCGUUUGUGAAAAAUAUUUUAUGUUCGCUUUUGAUUUCAGUGCAACUAUUUUAACUUCACUUCACUACAUACAUAUUCUGAUGUUAUGUUUUAUACGUCUAUUUUUGGGCCCUAUGUUUUAAUGAAAUAUUAUAUUUUUGGCAUGAUAAUGAAGGAGAAGGAGAGUUUGAGCUUGGAGGCAUGAAAGAGGAAUCACUGCACUCCGAUCGCGACGGAAUGGCAUUCUCUUUUAUGCAACCGCUCUAGUUUGAUUUCUUCUUUAUGUGUACAUAUUCGUACGAUCUUUCGGAGCAUUUUAUGUAUAACUAGUGAUUUCAAAUUUCGGGGACGAAAUUUUUUAAGGUAGGUAGAUUGUGAUGACCCGUCCUUAAUUUUAUGUUUUUAUAAAUUUUAAAAGCGUGAUUUUACGAAAAUGCCCUUAGAGGCGAGGGUAUUGACUUUCGUUGAUCAACAUUUAGUGAGAUGUAUGAAAUAUUCCUUUAGCGUAUUCCUGAAGUACUCGACAAUAAGGGCUCGUAGGAGCAAGCAGAAGAGGAUUUGGAGUUACGGUUAAAGUUUUACGGAACUGUAAAACCGAGAAGUACUUUUGUAUU
rnacentral:lncRNA from 1 species